rnacentral:rRNA from 1 species
GGCCCUACGGGGUGCAGCAGGCGCGAAACCUCCGCAAUGUGAGAAAUCGCGACGGGGGGAUCCCAAGUGCCAUUCUUAACGGGAUGGCUUUUCAUUAGUGUAAAGAGCUUUUGGAAUAAGAGCUGGGCAAGACCGGUGCCAGCCGCCGCGGUAACACCGGCAGCUCUAGUGGUAGCAGUUUUUAUUGGGCCUAAAGCGUCCGUAGCCGGUUUAAUAAGUCUCUGGUGAAAUCCUGCGGCUUAACUGUGGGAAUUGCUGGAGAUACUAUUAGACUUGAGAUCGGGAGAGGUUAGAGGUACUCCCAGGGUAGAGGUGAAAUUCUGUAAUCCUGGGAGGACCGCCUGUUGCGAAGGCGUCUGACUGGAACGAUUCUGACGGUGAGGGACGAAAGCUAGGGGCGCGAACCGGAUUAGAUACCCGGGUAGUCCUAGCUGUAAACGAUGCGGACUUGGUGUUGGGGUGGCUUUGAGCUGUCCCAGUGCCGAAGGGAAGCUGUUAAGUCCGCCGCCUGGGAAGUACGGUCGCAAGGCUGAAACUUAAAGGAAUUGGCGGGGGAGCACCACAACGCGUGGAGCCUGCGGUUUAAUUGGAGUCAACGCCGG